ensembl:lncRNA
AGAUUGGCAAAAAUUAAAUCAUCUCAGGAUAUAAAGUGUCGGCAAUGAUUGAGCAACAUGGCACCCAUAUCCUCUGUGACUGGGAGUAUCAUUUGGUGUCUUCACUUUGAGUCAUGGCAGGCAACCAGCAAAGUGUAAAUACAGCUUGUUCACUGUCAACUCCUCUCCCUGGGUUUAUAUGCCCUACAGAAACCCUCCCACAUGUGCCUCAGGAGACCUGUACACAGGGUGCUUAUUACAACACUGUAUAAAAGAGUGGAAAUAACACAAGUACCCUCCAUUAAGGAAAUGGACAUGGAAAUGGAUAAAUCUCUGGUGGCUCAGGCUUCCCUGGUGGCUUAGAUGGUAAAGAAUCAGCCCACAAUGUGGGAGACCUGGGUUUGAUCCCUGGGUUGGGAAGAUCCCCUGAAGGACGGCAUGGCAAAAACAACAGAAUGAUCUCUGUUUGUUUCCAAGGCAAACCAUUCACAUCACAGAAAUCCACGUCUAUGCCCCAACCAUUAAUGCCGAAGAAGCUGAAGUUGAAAAGUUCUAUGAAAACCUACAAGACCUUCUAGAACUAACACCAAAAAAAAACAAUGUCCUUUUCAUCAUAGGGAACUGGAAUGCAAAAGUAGGAGUCAAGAGAUAUCUGGAGUAACAGGCAAGGUUGGCCUUGGGGUACCAAAUAAAGCAGGGCAAAGGCUAGCAGUUUUGCUAAGAGAACACACUGGUCAUAGUAAACACCCUCUUCCAACAACACCGGAGAUGACUCUAUACAUGGACAUCACCACAUCACCAGAUGAUCAAUAUAGAAAUCAGGUUGAUUAUAUUCUUUGCAGUCAAAGAUGGAGAAGCUGUAUACAGUCAGCGUAGAGCUGACUGUGGGAGCUGAAUGUGGCUCAGAUCAUGAACUCAUUGUUGGAAAAUUCAGACUUAAAUUGAAGAAAGUAGGGAAAACCACUAGGUCGUUCAGCAGCAGCAGUAGCAGCAGAGAUCUCUUCAAGAAAAUUAAGAGAUACCAAGGGAACAUUUCAGGCAAAGAUGGGCACGAUAAAGGACAGAAAUGGUAGGGACCUAACAGAAGCAGAAGAUAUUAAGAAGAAAUCCCAAGAAUACACAGAAGAAUUAUACAAAAAAGAUCUUCAUGACCCAGAUAACCAUGAUGGUGUGAUCACUCACCUAGAGCCAGACAUCCUGGAAUGCGAAGUCAAGUGGGCCUUAGGAACAUCAUUACAAACAAAGCUAGUGGAAGUGAUAGAAUUCCAGCUGAGCUAUUUAAAAUCCUAAAAGAUGAUGCUGUUAAUGUGCUGCACUCAAUAUGCCCUCAAUUCUGGAAAACUCAGCGGUGGCUGCAGGACUGGAAAAGGUCAGUUUUCAUACCAAUCCCAAAGAAAGGCAAUGCCAAAGCAUGUUCAAACUACCACACAGUUGCACUCAUUUCACAUGAUAGCAAAGUAAUGCUCAAAUUUCUCCAAGCCAGGCAUCAAAAGUACGUGAGCCAAAAACUUCGAGAUGUUCAAGAUGGAUUUAGAAAAGGCAGAGGAACCAGAGAUCAAAAUGCCAACAUCUGUUGGAUCAUAGAAAAAGCAAGAGAAUUCCAGAAAAACAUCUACUUCUGUUUCAUUGACUGCGCCAAAGCUUUUGACUGUGUGGAUCACAACAAACUGGAAAAUUCUUAAAGAGAUGGGAACACCAGACCACCUUACCU